UAUCUUUUGCCGACUGAGUUGUGGAGAUCCCUUUCCUCCUCAGCCAGGGCCAGAGGCCAAGAUCAGCCAUGCGUGUCAUGGGUCAUUGUCAUAAGGACUGCCCUGUGUUCCUGCCUCAGACAUUG